ensembl:lncRNA
GGUUAUAGGGGCCUGUAUUAGUAACUGUCUGUUACUCCUCCUGGUAAGGCCUGUAUUAGUACUUUGGUUAUACUCCUCCUGGUAUAGGGCCUGUAUUAGUAACUGUUCUGUUAUAACCUCCCUCCUGGUAUAGGUCCUAUAUUAGUAACUGUUCUGUUUAUCCUCUCCUGGUAGAGGGCCUGUAUUAGUAACUUUCUGUUAUUCCUCCUGGUAUAGGGCCUGUAUUAGUAACUGUUCUGUUAUACCUCCUCCUGGUAUAGGGCCGAUAUUAGUAACUGUUCUGUUAUUAUUCUCCGCCUCCUGGUAUAGUCUAUAAUUAGUAACUGUUCUGUUAUUCCUCCUCCUGCCUGUGACAUGGUAUAGGUCCUGUAUUAGUAACUGUUCUGUUAUUCCUCCUGCCCUGUGACAUGGUAUAGGGCGCUGUAAUUAGUAACUGUUUCUGUUGUAUCCUCCUGCCUGUGACAUGGUAUAGGUCCUAUAUUAGUAACUGUCUGUUAUUCCUCUC